AGAGUUUGAUCCUGGCUCAGGAUGAACGCUAGCGGCAGGCCUAACACAUGCAAGUCGAGGGGUAGAGUUAGCUUGCUAACUUGAGACCGGCGCACGGGUGCGUAACGCGUAUGCAAUCUACCUUAUACUAAGAGAUAGCCCAGAGAAAUUUGGAUUAAUACCUUAUAGUAUAUUUGAAUGGCAUCAUUUAGAUAUUAAAGAUUUAUCGGUAUAAGAUGAGCAUGCGUCCCAUUAGUUAGUUGGUGUGGUUACGGCACACCAAGACGAUGAUGGGUAGGGGUCCUGAGAGGGAGAUCCCCCACACUGGUACUGAGACACGGACCAGACUCCUACGGGAGGCAGCAGUGAGGAAUAUUGGUCAAUGGAGGCAACUCUGAACCAGCCAUGCCGCGUGCAGGAUGACGGUCCUAUGGAUUGUAAACUGCUUUUGUACGGGAAGAAAACCUGCUACGUGUAGCACAUUGACGGUACCGUAAGAAUAAGGAUCGGCUAACUCCGUGCCAGCAGCCGCGGUAAUACGGAGGAUCCAAGCGUUAUCCGGAAUCAUUGGGUUUAAAGGGUUCGUAGGCGGUAGAGUAAGUCAGCGGUGAAAGUUUGCAGCUUAACUGUAAAAUUGCCAUUGAUACUGCUUUACUUGAAUUACUUAGAAGUUACUAGAAUAUGUAGUGUAGCGGUGAAAUGCUUAGAUAUUACAUGGAAUACCAAUUGCGAAGGCAGUUAACUAUGAGUUAAUUGACGCUGAUGGACGAAAGCGUGGGUAGCGAACAGGAUUAGAUACCCUGGUAGUCCACGCCGUAAACGAU
rnacentral:rRNA from 1 species